rnacentral:rRNA from 1 species
UUCGACUUUUAGCUUAUUGCACGUCGUGGGAACCUACCAUGAUGUACACAUACUUGAGCGCUU